AGGUGCUGCAUGGCUGUCGUCAGCUCGUGUCGUCGAGAUGUUGGGUUAAGUCCCGCAACGAGCGCAACCCUUGCCUUUAGUUGCCAGCAGUUCGGCUGGGCACUCUAAAGGGACUGCCGGUGUUAAACCGGAGGAAGGUGGGGAUGACGUCAAGUCCUCAUGGCCUUUAUGACCAGGGCUACACACGUACUACAAUGGCCGAUACAAAGGGCAGCGACGCUGCGAGGUGAAGCCAAUCCCGUAAAAUCGGUCUCAGUCCGGAUUGGAGUCUGCAACUCGACUCCAUGAAGUUGGAAUCGCUAGUAAUCGUGGAUCAGCAUGCCACGGUGAAUACGUUCCCGGGCCUU
rnacentral:rRNA from 1 species